GUUUAGAGGUGGUCGAGCGAAGCUAAAGAUGUUUAGUUAGAUGUAGAUUUUUGUUCAAAUCAUGUUUGUAAUCAAAGUUUGAAUUUUUCGUAUUAGGUUUUGAUGUUUAGUUUAAUUUCCGUAAUCCGCUACUAGUUGUCUUUGUAAUUUCUGUCACAAACUUGAAAACUUGGUAUAAUAUUUAACAUUUUACCAAAAAAAAAAAAAAAAAGAACCCUACCUAACCCUAAACCCUACUAACCCUAAACCCUACCUAAUUCUAAACCUAUCUAACCCUAAACCCUAUCUAACCCUAAACCUUUUUUAGCCCUAAACCCUACCUAACCCUAAACCCUACUAACCCUAAACUCUACCUAACCCUAAACCCUACCUAUUUCUAAACCCUAUCUAACCCUAAACCCUAUCUAGCCCUAAACCUUACCUACCCUAAACCCUACCUAGCUCUAAACCCUACUAACCCUAAACCCUACCUAACCCUAAACCCUAACUAACCCUAAACUUCUUCUAACCCUAAACUUGACAUAACCCUAAACCCUGCCUAACCCUAAACCCUGCCUAACCCUAAACCCUAUAAUCCAAAGCAUUAUUCUAAACCAAACUCUAAACUCUACUUACCCUAAACCCUACCUAACCCUAAACCCUACCUAAUUCUAAACCUAUCUAACCUUAAACCCUACCUAACCCUAAACACUACUAACCCUAAACCCUACCUAAUUCUAAACCUAUCUAACCCUAAACCCUACCUAACCCAAAACCCUUUCUAGCCCUAAACCCUACCUAACCCAAAACCCUACCUAACCCUACUAACCCUACUAACCCUAAACCCAACUAACCCUAAACCCUACCUAACCCUACCUAACCCUACUAACCCUAUCUAACCCUAAACCCUACCUAGCCCUAAACCCUACUAACCCUAAACCCUAUCUAACCCUAAACCCUAAACCCUACCUAACCCUAAACCCCUUCUAACCUUAAACCUGACAUAACCCUAAAUCCUGCCUAAACCUAAACCUGACCUAACCCUAAACCCUGCCUAACCCUAAACCCUACUUAACCCUAAACCCUUUCUAACCCUAAACCCUGCUAACCCUAAACCCUACCUAACCCUAACCCUAAACCCUUCCUAACCCUAAACCCUGCCUAAUUCUAAACCCUACCUAACCCUAACCCUACAUAACCCUAAACCCUACCUACCCUAAACCCUAUCUAGCCCUAAACCCUACUUACCCUAAACCCUACCUAACCCUAAACCCUACCUAACCCUAAACCCCUUCUAACCCUAAAUCUGACAUAACCCUAAACCCUGCCUAACCCUAAACCUGACCUAACCCUAAACCCUGCCUAACUCUAAAUCCUACGUAACCCUAAACCCUUUCGAACUCUAAACCCUGCUAACCCUAAACCCUACCUAAUUCUAAACCCUACCUAACCCUAACCCUAAACCCUUCCUAACCCUAAACCCUGCCUAUUUCUAAACCCAACAUAACCCUAAACCCUAAACCCUUUCUAACCCUAAACCCUACUAACCCUAAACCCUAUUAACCUUAAACCCUACCUAACCCUAAACCCUACUAACUCUAAACCAAACCUAAUUUUAAACCCUACCUAACCUUAAACCCUUCCUAACCCUAAACCCUACCUACCCUAAACCCUACCUAACCCUAGACCCUAUAUAUCCCUAAACCCUACUAACCCUAAACCCUACCUAACCCUAAACCCUACCUAACCCUAAACCCUACAUACCCUAAACCCUAUUUAACCCUAAACCCUAACUAACCCUAAACCCUUUCUAACCCUAAACCCUUCCUAACCCUAAACCCUGCGUAACCCUAAAACCCUACCUAACCCUAAACCCUUUCUAACCCUAAACCCCGCUAACCCUAAACCCUUCCUAAGCCUAACCUUAAAACCCUACCUAAACCUAACCCUAAACUCUACCUAACCCUAAACUCUACAUAACCCUAAACCCUUUCUAACCCUAAACCCUAAAUCCAACCCUAAAACCCCUACAUAACCCUAAACCCUUUCUAACCCUAAACCCUACCUAACCCUAAACCCUGUUAACCCUAAACUCUACCUACCCUAAACCCUACUUAACCCUAAACCCUAAAUCCAACCCUAAAACCCCUACAUAACCCUAAACCCUUUCUAACCCUAAACCCUACCUAACCCUAAACCCUGUUAACCCUAAACCCUUCCUAAACCUAACCCUAAAACCCUACCUAAACCUAACCAUAAAUCCCAUCUAACCCUAAAACUCUACC
rnacentral:lncRNA from 1 species